UUAUUUUAGGCGCUAAACUAUCUCCAUAUAUACUGGCACCGAGACCAUAAGCAAAACGGAGAACAUCAUCCUGCUAAACAUUUAUCAAUCCUGUGAACGUUCCACAAAUUGUGCUAUACUUUUCCUGGAAAAAGUAAAAGGAAACAAAACUGGUGAGUAACAAACUGGUGAGUAAUUAAAAAACAGUCUGAUAGACUAUCUAGGCUAGAGUCCCAAAUGGCACCCUAUUCCCCAUUUAGUACACUAAUUUUAACCAGAGCCCAUAAGGAAGUAGUGCACUGUGUAGGGAAUAGGGUGCCAUUUGGGACGAAGCUGUUCAAGUCAUGCGUAUACACUAUAAAAUACAAAGUCAAGUCUAUCGAUGGACAAUAUCAAACAACAACAGAACAAUUAGAGAAAUCAGAAUAUAACCUACGUUUUAUUUGAAAGUAUUUCGUUUUUUUAUUCCCAUUAGCUACAGCCAAAGCUGCAUCUACUCUUCCUGGGAGCCACACAAAACACAAAAUACAUCAUAUUAAUAGUAAAUUACAGCUGAAGGACAGAACUACAUAAAAUGACAUAAUACAUAAUAUUAAUAGACUGGUACAGAACUACAUACUGUACAUUUAAAAUAAGAAUACACAUUUUCAUAUUCUUAUGCCUUAGCAAUCCAAACAACAUGUACUCAUAAUAACAGCUACACUGCAGUCAUCCAUUUUGUUACAUUUGCUUACUGUUACAUUUUCUGGUCCUGAUCCUAACCUCUCAGAACCAGUUGUUCUGUAAACACUAGGAAGAAUUUCACAACAUUAAGAGCCACCUGUGUCCUUGGUUCUCCCAUUUGACGUCAAGACUAUUAAUAAUAAUGUGAUUCAUAGAUGUUAUGGAAUGCAAGUGCAACGAAAACAACAAUGGAAAUCCAACAAUUCCUCUAGCUAAGGCGUCAACCACAGUUUUCACCCUAGCAACCGUGCUAUUCCGCUCAUAAAUGAGCUACAGAUGGAGUUUUCUUCCCGUUAACGGCUUCAAUUUAAUCCCUUACCUCAGCAACCAUGUUGGAGUUUCCUCCAGAUAAAGUUUGAGGACCUGAGCCCUAGG
rnacentral:lncRNA from 1 species